AUACGGAGGGUGCAAGCGUUACUCGGAAUCACUGGGCGUAAAGCGCGCGCAGGCGGCUAUUUAAGUUGGAUGUGAAAGCCUACGGCUCAACCGUAGAACUGCAUCCAAAACUAUUUAGCUAGAGUGUGGGAGAGGAAGAUGGAAUUAGUUGUGUAGGGGUAAAAUCCGUAGAGAUAACUAGGAAUACCAAAAGCGAAGGCAAUCUUCUGGAACACUACUGACGCUGAGGCGCGAAAGCGUGGGGAGCAAACGGGAUUAGAUACCCCUGUAGUCC
rnacentral:rRNA from 1 species